GCACGGUCGCGCUAUCUACACUUGAAAAUCGAGUGCCCGUCUACAUCGCAUCGGACGACACCAGACGUGACAGUACUUAGCUCUGUUUUCCUGAAAGGCAUUCCUAUUUUACUUGGUGACGACUCCAGUGAAUUCUCCAAGGCAUGCUCUCGGGGGACAAAGCCCUAGAAUGCACUGUUGGUGUGCUGUCAGUGAAGAUAAUCCUCAUGAGGGUCCAAGUUCAGUAGACCUCCAGCCCAUCUCUACUGCCGUCAUUCUGGAGGGAGGUAUCGUCAUGGAUUGUAUUAAAAACUUGCCUCAGGCAGUUUUUCUGUUAUUUGGGCUUACAAAGGCUUACAUAGGUAAUAACAGCUAAAUAGAUAUGAAAUGGGAUAGAAAGAGAGGGAGAGAGAGAGAGAAAGAGAGAGAAGAACAAGGACCCAUUCAAGAAAAUUGGUUUGUUUAAUUUAAGUGAACUAAAAAAAAAACUAAAAAAAAAGAGUGAGUAGUAAGUAGUAGGUAUUUAGUAAUUCUAAGUAGGGUUAAAUUUGUAUCAAGCAGUCCAAACAAAAUUAAAAAAAUAAGUUAACACUAAGCAUGGCUAUUAAGUUAUGUGAACUUUCUUGACUUUGCAUACUUUAAGUAAGGUCAACUAAUUAGAUUUUACAGUGUGUAACAUUAGUGUUGUGUUGCUUUGAUAGAACUGCAUCAUCACAGCCUAGCCUCCUGCCAAGUUGGCUUAUGACUGACUGACUGAAAUGAGGAAAUAGGUAUUUUAAAAUAUUAUUAAAAUUGUUAUUACAUAUUAUGGAGAACUAAUCUUUUACUUUCUUUGUGAAUUAUGUCUAGUUUUUUUUAACGGGGGUGAACUUUUUAGUUUUUUUGUGCACUUUUUGUAUUCAAAUAUUGUAAACAUUAUGA